rnacentral:misc_RNA from 1 species
AGCAGCCGCGGUAAUUCCAGCUCCAAUAGCGUAUAUUAAAGUUGUUGCAGUUAAAAAGCUCGUAGUUGAAUUUCGGGAUCAAUUUAUUGGUCGUGCUAUUGUACGUACUGGUAUUAUUGAUCUCUACCUUCUGACGAACCAUGAUGUCAUUAAUUUGGUGUCUUGGGGAAUCAGGACUGUUACUUUGAAAAAUUAGAGUGUUUAAAGCAGGCUCACGCUUGAAUACAUUAGCAUGGAAUAACGAAAUAGGACGUUUGAUUCUAUUUUGUUGGUUUCUAGGAUCGACGUAAUGAUUAAUAGGGAUAGUUGGGGGCAUUAGUAUUCAAUUGUCGGAGGUGAAAUUCUUGGAUUUAUUGAAGACUAACUACUGCGAAAGCAUUUGCCAAGGAUGUUUUCAUUAAUCAAGAACGAAAGUUAGGGGAUCGAAGACGAUCAGAUACCGUCGUAGUCCUAACCAUAAACUAUGCCGACUAGGGAUCGGAUGAUGUUAAUUUUUAAUGACUCAUUCGGCGCCUUAACC